ensembl:lncRNA
CACAAAUCACAAAUUCUUUGUGUUCAGUGAACAGAUGUUGUGUGUCUGACCAGAUGUUGUGUGUCUCCAGUGACCAGAUGUUGUGUGUCUCCAGUGACCAGAUGUUGUGUGUUCAGUGACCAGAUGUUGUGUGUUCAGUGACCAGAUGUUGUGUGUUCAGUGACCAGAUGUUGUGUCUCCAGUGACCAGAUGUUGUGUGUCUGACCAGAUGUUGUGUGUUCAGUGACCAGAUGUUGUGUGUUCAGUUAUCAGAUGUUGUGUGUCUGACCAGAUGUUGUGUGUCUGACCAGAUGUUGUGUGUUCAGUUAUCAGAUGUUGUGUGUCUGACCAGAUGUUGUGUGUUCAGUGACCAGAUGUUGUGUCUCCAGUGACCAGAUGUUGUGUGUCUCCAGUGAACAGAUGUUGUGUGUCUGACCAGAUGUUGUGUCUCCAAUGACCAGAUGUUGUGUGUCUGACCAGAUGUUGUGUGUCUGACCAGAUAUGUUGUGUCUCCAGUGACCAGAUGUUGUGUGUCUCCAGUGACCAGAUGUUGUGUCUCCAGUGACCAGAUGUUGUGUGUGUUGUGUGUCUCCAGUGACCAGAUGUUGUGUCUCCAGUGACCAGAUGUUGUGUCUCCAGUGACCAGAUGUUGUGUGUCUGACCAGAUGUUGUGUCUCCAGUGACCAGAUGUUGUGUUGUGUGACCAGAUGUUGUGUCUCCAGUGACCAGAUGUUGUGUGUCUGACCAGAUGUUGUGUCUCCAGUGACCAGAUGUUGUGUGUCUCCAGUGACCAGAUGUUGUGUGUCUCCAGUGACCAGAUGUUGUGUGUCUCCAGUGACCAGAUGUUGUGUGUUCAGUGACCAGAUGUUGUGUCUCCAGUGACCAGAUGUUGUGUCUCCAGUGACCAGAUGUUGUGUGUCUCCAGUGACCAGAUGUUGUGUGUCUCCAGUGACCAGAUGUUGUGUGUUCAGUGACCAGAUGUUGUGUCUCCAGUGACCAGAUGUUGUGUCUCCAGUGACCAGAUGUUGUGUCUCCAGUGACCAGAUGUUGUGUCUCCAGUGACCAGAUGUUGUGUGUCUGACCAGAUGUUGUGUCUCCAGUGACCAGAUGUUGUGUGUUCAGUGACCAGAUGUUGUGUCUCCAGUGACC